UACGGAGGGUGCAAGCGUUGUCCGGAAUCACUGGGCGUAAAGGGCGCGUAGGCGGCUCAUGAAGGCUGUGGUGAAAGUCCGGGGCUCAACCUCGGAUCGGCCGUGGCGACUCGUGGGCUGGAGCACUGUAGAGGCGGGUGGAAUCCGGGUGUAGCGGUGGAAUGCGUAGAGAUCCGGAAGAACACCAGUGGCGAAGGCGGCCCGCGCUGGGCAGUGGCUGGACGCUGAGGCGCGACAGCGUGGGGAGCAAACAGGAUAGGAAACCCUAG
rnacentral:rRNA from 1 species